rnacentral:rRNA from 1 species
GUUGCAGUUAAAAGCUCGUAGUUGAACCUUGGGCCUGGCUGGUUGGUCCGCCUCACCGCGUGUACUGAUCCGGCCGGGCCUUUCCUCCUGGGGAAUCGCAUGCCCUUCACUGGGUGUGUCGGGGAACCAGGACUUUUACUUUGAAAAAAUUAGAGUGUUCAAAGCAGGCCUUUGCUCGAAUACAUUAGCAUGGAAUAAUAGAAUAGGACGUGUGGUUCUAUUUUGUUGGUUUCUAGGACCGCCGUAAUGAUUAAUAGGGAUAGUCGGGGGCAUCAGUAUUCAAUUGUCAGAGGUGAAAUUCUUGGAUUUAUUGAAGACUAACUACUGCGAAAGCAUUUGCCAAGGAUGUUUUCAUUAAUCAGUGAACGAAAGUUAGGGGAUCGAAGACGAUCAGAUACCGUCGUAGUCUUAACCAUAAACUAUGCCGACUAGGGAUCGGGCGAUGUUUUCUUUUGACUCGCUCGGCACCUUACGAGAAAUCAAAGUCUUUGGGUUCUGGGGGGAGUACGUCAGCAAUGAUGAAACUUAAAGAAAUUGACGGAAGGGCACCACCAGGAGUGGAGCCUGCGGCUUAAUUUGACUCAACACGGGGAAACUCACCAGGUCCAGACAUGAAAAGGAUUGACAGAUUGAGAGCUCUUUCUUGAUCUCAUGGGUGGUGGUGCAUGGCCGUUCUUAGUUGGUGGAGUGAUUUGUCUGCUUAAUUGCGAUAACGAACGAGACCUUAACCUGCUAAAUAGCCCGGUUUGCUUUGGCAGAUCGCUGGCUUCUUAGAGGGACUAUCGGCUCAGCCGAUGGAGUUUGAGCAUACAGUCUGUGAUGCCCUUAGAUGUCUGGGCGCACGCGCGCUACACUGAC